rnacentral:rRNA from 1 species
AGAGACAGCAGUAGCCGCGGUAAUACGUAGGUCCCGAGCGUUGUCCGGAUUUAUUGGGCGUAAAGCGAGCGCAGGCGGUUAGAUAAGUCUGAAGUUAAAGGCUGUGGCUUAACCAUAGUACGCUUUGGAAACUGUUUAACUUGAGUGCAAGAGGGGAGAGUGGAAUUCCAUGUGUAGCGGUGAAAUGCGUAGAUAUAUGGAGGAACACCGGUGGCGAAAGCGGCUCUCUGGCUUGUAACUGACGCUGAGGCUCGAAAGCGUGGGGAGCAAACAGGAUUAGAUACCCCUGUAGUCCCUGUCUCUUAUACA